rnacentral:rRNA from 1 species
GAUGAACGCUAGCGGCAGGCCUAACACAUGCAAGUCGAGGGGUAGAGGAAGCUUGCUUCCUUGAGACCGGCGCACGGGUGCGUAACGCGUAUGCAAUCUACCUUAUACAGAGGGAUAGCCCAGAGAAAUUUGGAUUAAUACCUCAUAGUAUUAUGAAAUCGCAUGGUUUUAUAAUUAAAGUUCCAACGGUAUAAGAUGAGCAUGCGUCCCAUUAGUUAGUUGGUAAGGUAACGGCUUACCAAGACAAUGAUGGGUAGGGGUCCUGAGAGGGGGAUCCCCCAACCUGGUACUGAGACACGGACCAGACUCCGACGGGAGGCAGCAGUGAGGAAUAUUGGUCAAUGGACGCAAGUCUGAACCAGCCAUGCCGCGUGCAGGAUGACGGUCCUAUGGAUUGUAAACUGCUUUUAUACAGGAAGAAACACACCCUCGUGAGGGAACUUGACGGUACUGUAGGAAUAAGGAUCGGCUAACUCCGUGCCAGCCGCCGCCGUAAGAC